rnacentral:snRNA from 1 species
AGCAUUGAACAGUGGCAGGAUCAUAGCCAAUGAGGUUUAUCCAAGGCAUGAUUACUGCUAAUUGAACCAUUUUCUAUCACUGAUCAUUUUAUAUAUUUAUCUUUAAUUAAAAUUCAGCAAAUUAAAUUUUCAU